AGAUGUGAGGGCGAUCUGGCUGUGACAUCUGUCACUUCAUUGGUCACCAGAGUUGAUUCAGCUGAUCUGGCUAGCUAGGCAGGUGUCCCCUUCCUCCCUCGCCACUCCAUGUGCGUCCCUCCCAAAGCUGCGUGUGGGUGAAGAGGAUGACCAUCCCCAAUAGGGGAGGAUCAGUCUUUGGUCAAGGGUACUACAAGUAGCUGCGCUCCCCUGCUAGAAUCUCCAAACAAGCUCUCAAGACUGGCUGCUUCUGUUUCUAUUAUAUUAUGAACUUGGAAAUUAUGGACUUUAGGAACAAGAAAAGAUUAAGGAAGUUUAAUUCCUUUAAUACUU
rfam:Pongo abelii chromosome 7.